UGCAGUCGAGCGGAUGAGUGGAGCUUGCUCCAUGAUUCAGCGGCGGACGGGUGAGUAAUGCCUAGGAAUCUGCCUGGUAGUGGGGGAUAACGUUUCGAAAGGAACGCUAAUACCGCAUACGUCCUACGGGAGAAAGUGGGGGAUCUUCGGACCUCACGCUAUCAGAUGAGCCUAGGUCGGAUUAGCUAGUUGGUGGGGUAAUGGCCCACCAAGGCGACGAUCCGUAACUGGUCUGAGAGGAUGAUCAGUCACACUGGAACUGAGACACGGUCCAGACUCCUACGGGAGGCAGCAGUGGGGAAUAUUGGACAAUGGGCGAAAGCCUGAUCCAGCCAUGCCGCGUGUGUGAAGAAGGUCUUCGGAUUGUAAAGCACUUUAAGUUGGGAGGAAGGGCAGUAAGUUAAUACCUUGCUGUUUUGACGUUACCAACAGAAUAAGCACCGGCUAACUUCGUGC
rnacentral:rRNA from 1 species